rnacentral:rRNA from 1 species
GCCAGACUCCUACGGGAGGCAGCAGUGGGGGAUAUUGCACAAUGGGGGGAACCCUGAUGCAGCGACGCCGCGUGGGUGAAGGAGCGUUUCGGCGCGUAAAGCCCUAUCGGCAGGGAAGAAGGAGGACGGUACCUGACUAAGAAGCCCCGGCUAACUACGUGCCAGCAGCCGCGGUAAUACGUAGGGGGCAAGCGUUAUCCGGAUUUACUGGGUGUAAAGGGGGCGCAGACGGCAGCGCAAGCCAGGAGUGAAAGCCCGGGGCCCAACCCCGGGACUGCUCUUGGAACUGGGCGGCUGGAGUGCAGGAGGGGCAGGCGGAAUUCCUGGUGUAGCGGUGAAAUGCGUAGAUAUCAGGAGGAACACCGGUGGCGAAGGCGGCCUGCUGGACUGCGACUGACGUUGAGGCCCGAAAGCGUGGGGAGCAAACAGGAUUAGAUACCCCCGUACU